rnacentral:rRNA from 1 species
UACGGAGGGUGCAAACGUUGCUCGGAAUCAUUGGGCGUAAAGCGCACGUAGGCGGCGUCGUAAGUCGGGUGUGAAAGCCCUCGGCUCAACCGAGGAAGUGCAUUCGAAACUGCGAGGCUUGAGUACCGGAGAGGGAGACGGAAUUCCCGGUGUAGAGGUGAAAUUCGUAGAUAUCGGGAGGAACACCAGCGGCGAAGGCGGUCUCCUGGACGGAUACUGACGUUGAGGUGCGAAAGCGUGGGGAGCAAACAGGAUUAGA